rnacentral:lncRNA from 1 species
AAGUCUUAUUGUUAUUAUUUGCGAGUCAAAAUAGUCUCUUAACUAUGUGUAUAAUUUUUGGGUUGAUAUAACUAAUGAUCUUUUUAGUCUGAGGAUCCUUGUGAUGCCGAUGAUUUAAUUUAUGGUCGUGAUGGGUAUGACUUUGAUGGCUACGGGCUGCGUGUAUGCAUGUAGUGCAUGUUGCCUUUUUUUGCUGAAAGCAAAGACUGAUUUCUGGUGCCUGUUUUUUGAAAAGGUAUUUCUCAGAUGGAACUCACAUAUCAUGGUAUUCCUGUAUCGCGCACAUAUUGUCAUAUCAUGGUAUUCCUAUCUCGCACGCAUAUCGGAUACAUAUUUGGAAGUAGUAAAAUGUACUGGUGGUAUAACUGCAUAUAUACAUGUAUUGUUUAUAUGCACUGUAAGUUUCUCUGAUGUGUUCUUGUAAUAUAAUUGUUUUUCAAGCACACAAACUGGGUUUCAGAUCUUUAUUUUAUAUAGGUCUUAGAUUUCAAUUAUAGGUCCUACAUUUUGAUUAAAAAACACAAAUGUAGAGUUGUAGGGAUUUUUAGUUCUGGAUUAUUUAGCUCCCAUGUCGUGGACUACAAAUAUUGUGGUUGGACAAGAACAUCGUUUUGUUGUAUUUUAAGUCAAUGCAGACUGUUGUAGUUUUGAUAUCAUGAUAUCUGUUUUGUAAACAACCUUCGAUAACCUAGUGUUUUUGCUUGGGUUGGAUAAAAGAUACUUGUGGCGUAUAGCAGAAAACCCUGCUUGAUUGAAUGCUCUUGAUUUGUUUUCUUUUCUGCAGAAGCCUACUAUUUUAUGUUGUGCUUGUUUCCAAAUUCUGUUUGACAUACCUUCACAGUGCGCUGAUUUCCAUAGCUGCUAAACGUUUCCUGUAGUAUACCCUUAUUAUCCUCUAGGCUUGGUAAGAUCGGAUAUCAGCCUAAUGCUAGAGCUCUCUUCAGAUGGUUUCGACAAUUGAGCCUGACUCGGGAUAUCAGUCACGAAUCUUUAUUUUUUUUCUCGUGAAAUAUUUACAACUUGGCAACUUGGCAUGAGCCGCUAUUGCCUUGCGCUCUCGAAGAUAGUUGGUGAUUUUUCACGUGGGGAUUUCUAAAAAGCAAUUACUAUGGCAUCUGUAUUUAAAGUUUCUAUUUGUUUAUAAUCCUGCUGCUGCUGCUGUCUAUCUAAUUUCUAGACUUAUGAGGUUGUUGUGAAUGGUCUGAUUACAAGGGAUGCUACACUGCCUUAUUAGUAUGAUGGUUUAUGAUCUGUUGGCGAGGCUGUGCAAGGUCCAUUGCAUGGCCAUCUAGCA